rnacentral:rRNA from 1 species
UACAGGGGGUGCAAACGUUGCUCGGAAUCAUUGGGCGUAAAGCGCACGUAGGAGGUCUGUUAUGUCGGAUGUGAAAGCCCUUGGCUCAACUGGGGAAGUGCAUCCGAAACUGGCAGGCUAGAGUACGAAAGAGGAUCGCGGAAUUCCCGGUGUAGAGGUGAAAUUCGUAGAUAUCGGGAGGAACACCGGUGGCGAAGGCGGCGAUCUGGGUCGAUACUGACGCUGAGGUGCGAAAGCGUGGGGAGCAAACAGG